rnacentral:rRNA from 1 species
AGAGUUUGAUCCUGGCUCAGGACGAACGCUGGCGGCGCGCCUAACACAUGCAAGUCGAACGGAGCUUAGAGAGCUUGCUUUUUAAGCUUAGUGGCGAACGGGUGAGUAACGCGUGAGUAACCUGCCCUAGAGUGGGGGACAACAGUUGGAAACGACUGCUAAUACCGCAUAAGCCCACGGUGCCGCAUGGCACUGAGGGAAAAGGAUUUAUUCGCUUUAGGAUGGACUCGCGUCCAAUUAGCUAGUUGGUGAGGUAACGGCCCACCAAGGCGACGAUUGGUAGCCGGACUGAGAGGUUGAACGGCCACAUUGGGACUGAGACACGGCCCAGACUCCUACGGGAGGCAGCAGUGGGGAAUAUUGCACAAUGGGGGAAACCCUGAUGCAGCGACGCCGCGUGGAGGAAGAAGGUUUUCGGAUUGUAAACUCCUGUCGUUAGGGACGAUAAUGACGGUACCUAACAAGAAAGCACCGGCUAACUACGUGCCAGCAGCCGCGGUAAAACGUAGGGUGCAAGCGUUGUCCGGAAUUACUGGGUGUAAAGGGAGCGCAGGCGGGAAGACAAGUUGGAAGUGAAAUCUAUGGGCUCAACCCAUAAACUGCUUUCAAAACUGUUUUUCUUGAGUAGUGCAGAGGUAGGUGGAAUUCCCGGUGUAGCGGUGGAAUGCGUAGAUAUCGGGAGGAACACCAGUGGCGAAGGCGGCCUACUGGGCACCAACUGACGCUGAGGCUCGAAAGCAUGGGUAGCAAACAGGAUUAGAUACCCUGGUAGUCCAUGCCGUAAACGAUGAUUACUAGGUGUUGGAGGAUUGACCCCUUCAGUGCCGCAGUUAACACAAUAAGUAAUCCACCUGGGGAGUACGACCGCAAGGUUGAAACUCAAAGGAAUUGACGGGGGCCCGCACAAGCAGUGGAGUAUGUGGUUUAAUUCGA